AAAAUAGCCUUUGGCUCCGACUAAUCAUCGGCCUCCCAGGAGAACGACAUCUCCUCAUGCCGCCCUCCCCAACCGCCCAACCCGCUACCCGCGCUCGACCUUGCCUCCAUGGGUGCCCCUCCCUACCCUCGCCGCCGAUGCCCUGACCCUGCCGCCUUCUGCAAGUGCAACGCGCCGCCACCGGCUCGAGGUUGAGGAAGCGGAGCUCCGCCGCCGACUACCGUCGUCGAAUCGAGGCCGGCCGCGCCUGAUCCUCCACCGAAUCGAGGCCAGCCGCGCCUGAUCUGCCACCUUUCUCGCCUCCGUCGAGUUCCGAUUGUCCCCGCCUCCACCGAGUACCUUGGGCGAAUCAAGGGCGGGCACUGCACGGAGGAGCGGAUUCGCUUGGGGGGAGGGCCCACCUCGGCCGGAUCAGAACUGCUUCGCCUCUGCCGCCUCCUAGAUUUGAUCUAGGCGUUGAAGAGAAGUUAGGGCCGGCGCUGCCAGCGGUCAGUGUGCUCGCGUCGACCCCUGCCCUUGAGGCCGUCCGGCACUGUGAGGCUAUCCUGGAGAAGAUGGGUCUGAGCAGCCGUGGGCGCAAGUGGCUGCGGCGAUGGGCAGCAGUUCAGCCGGCCACAUCAGGGCAGAGCUCCACCGUGCGCUCCGACCGGCGUCGUGCCAAACUCAGAUACAUGAACCUUUUUGUAGCCCUGCGUCUGUCAAUCUCUAAUGCAAACAAGUGCCUGCAUUUGUCAAAUGCAUACAUUAUCUAUAGGAACUCCAAAUGCAUAGAUUAUCUAUAGGAACUUGUGAGUCGAAUCUGUUAGCAUCUUGGCAAAUGUGGGUCUUUGAAUGAAACUCCUAUGUGUGUCCAUGCAUGAUUUGUUUGAAAUACCGGAGGAUGGCAUGCAAAUAUUGGACAUGGUUGUGUGUAGCACUUCUUAUGCACAUCCAUCACUCCUCUCUGAUUUGGAGACUGUUUUAUCUGUUAGUAAUAUAUCUAGUAGUAGCUUGCUAUAUGUGUGUCCUUGAACCUGUAAGUUGACUUAAAAAAUACUAGUACAUUUCAAGACUGAUGUGUCUAUGAUAUGAUUUUGAUCUUUCAACAACACAACUUAUUUUGGCCUUGUGCAAUGUGUUGGCUAUUUUGUGCUCACAAAUACAAUGAGUACAAUGUCACUCAGAUGUUCAAAAAAGGCCCUUGUGUGUAGCACUUGUUUCUAUGCACGUAUAUUAAUGGCUCUCCAGGCUAAUCUGGGGCCCGUUUGUUUCUGUUGCCCUACUCGCGCUACAAAAAGAAUUUUGCGUGCAUGGAGUACUAAAUGAAGUUUAUUUGCAAAACUUUUUCGCAGAUGGAUGCAACUUUGCGCGACGAAUCUAAUGACGGUAAUUAAUUGAUGAUUGACUACAGUAAUGGUAUAGUAACUAGCGAAGGGGCACACGGUGCAGUGGCAAAGGCCACCCGCCCAGGGUUCAAACCCUCGGUGCCACACCUAAUUAAGCUUUAGGGGUUUCCCUUAAAGUAUUUCUAUAAAAAAAAAUGCUACAGUAACCAUCCUCUAAUCGUGCGGUCAAAUGCUUGAUUAGAUUCAUCUCGCAAAGUAGCGUAGGGGUCUGCAUUCAUUUAAUAUCCAUAAUUAAUAGUCAAACUUUGUGCUACUUUUUAACACAAGCAAACCAAACAAGGCCCUAUUUAUCGUUUUGACCGGAAACUAAGGUGAAUAUUUACCACCAUCUUGUGCAUGACCUAGGGAAGACAAUUUAUUUCCAUGAUCACUGAGUUAUUGUGGGGCAUGUUGGGCUUGUUGACUGACACCCUAAUUUUUUAAAAACUAUUUCAAGCUCCAACUGACAAAUGCUAUUGAUGAAAAUGUGGCCUAAAAAUGUCGCCAUAUUUCCUAUGAUUCAAGAAUAUCCCUUAUCUGCAAUUAUGUUGAACUGAGAGCAAGAUUGAGGUAAAACUAUGGUGCCUACUUUGCUCUGUCUAAUUGCAUCAUGUAUAUUUUCAAUGUUUCAUGGUUUGAUGCAAAUGCGUUUGAAUUUAAACCAGCAAAUGAGGUCAGUUUAGGAUCCAGGAUUUUGUUGUGCAUGCAUAUCUGAAGAAGGAAUUAAUGGUUAUGGGAUAUAUUCUUCUAACAUUUUACAUGUUCAUUGAUAUAUGUGUUUUGACUCUGAUUUCAGUAUGGACCCUAACGAAUCCAAUGAUGGGUCACAGGGAGCUUUUACUGGUGGCAACAUUCCUCCCUACCAGGCUGCCUGGAACCCGUACAUGUAUGGGUACCAAGCUCCUCCGUCCUGGUUCCCCCAAGGAGAGCAGCAGGUUCCACCCAAUGUCUCAAUGGUGUGUCCAGAAGCACGUAUGCAAAGCGUUGAGGUAGAUGUGGAGCAACAGCAAGUCUGCCCAGCACCUACAGGAAAGAGCGCAAAGAAAUGCAUCAGUAGGACCAAGUUAGGCAAUUUCAACCCAGAAGAUGUAAACCUUGUCAAGUCAUGGCUUGAAAUAAAUUGUAACUCUUUUUCUCAGCUUCUGCUCCCUCCUCUUUCUUUCUUGUAAGUAUUUCUUCUUGUAAUGUUCUUUUUAAUGCAAUUGCUGUGGGGAACUCCCCACAGUUUCCGUUCAAAAAAA